UUUAGACCUCAAAUCAGUCAGGACUACCCGCUGAACUUAAGCAUA
rnacentral:rRNA from 1 species